AGACGCUCUGUGGAGUCGCGGGAGCUACGGCUGCGGGAGUUACCCUUUAUUCUGUGAUAUUUUGAGCUGUUCUGCGUCUCGCAGGCCCUUCUGAAUUUCCUGGACCUACUCUCGGAACCCUCAACGAGCUAGCGAUAGAUUUAGAGGAAAGGAAGCACCGUCGGAAAGCAAAGGCAUGAUUUCACCUUCACUUGAACUGCUUCAUUCAGGACUCUGCAAAUUCCCUGAAGUAGAAGGAAAAAUGACCACAUUCAAAGAGGCAGUGACAUUCAAGGAUGUGGCUGUGGUCUUCACUGAGGAGGAGCUGGGGCUGCUGGACCCUGCCCAGAGGAAGCUGUACCGAGAUGUGAUGCUAGAGAACUUCAGGAACCUGCUCUCAGUAGGGAAUCAACCAUUCCACCAAGAUACUUUCCACUUCUUAGGGAAGGAAAAGUUUUGGAAGAUGAAGACAACAAGCCAAAGAGAAGGGAAUUCAGGAGGCAAGAUCCAAAUUGAGAUGGAGACUGUUCCAGAAGCAGGACCACAUGAAGAGUGGUCCUGUCAGCAAAUAUGGGAACAAAUUGCAAGUGACCUAACCAGGUCUCAAAACUCCAUAAGGAACAGCUCUCAGUUCUUCAAAGAAGGUGAUGUCCCCUGCCAGAUUGAGGCAAGACUAUCUAUAAGUCACGUGCAACAGAAACCUUACCGUUGUAAUGAAUGUAAACAGUCCUUCAGUGAUGUUUCUGUCUUUGAUCUUCAUCAACAAUCACACUCAGGAGAGAAAUCUCAUACAUGUGGUGAGUGUGGAAAAAGCUUCUGUUACAGCCCAGCCCUUCAUAUUCAUCAGAGAGUCCAUAUGGGAGAAAAAUGCUAUAAGUGUGAUGUGUGUGGUAAGGAAUUUAAUCAGAGCUCACAUCUGCAAACUCAUCAGAGAGUCCAUACUGGAGAGAAACCAUUCAAAUGUGGGCAAUGUGGGAAAGGCUUCCAUAGUAGAUCAGCACUUAAUGUUCAUUGCAAAUUGCACACAGGAGAGAAACCUUAUAAUUGUGAGGAAUGUGGGAAAGCCUUCAUUCAUGAUUCACAGCUUCAAGAACAUCAGAGAAUCCAUACUGGGGAGAAGCCAUUCAAAUGUGAUAUAUGUGGUAAGAGCUUCCGUGUUAGAUCAAGACUUAAUAGGCAUUCCAUGGUUCACACAGGAGAAAAACCAUUCAGAUGUGAUACAUGUGGCAAGAACUUUCGUCAGAGAUCAGCACUUAAUAGUCAUUCCAUGGUCCACAUAGAAGAGAAGCCAUACAAAUGUGAGCAAUGUGGAAAAGGCUUCAUUUGUAGGCGAGAUUUUUGUAAGCAUCAGAUGGUCCACACAGGAGAGAAACCAUAUAAUUGUAAAGAAUGUGGGAAGACCUUCAGAUGGUCCUCAUGUCUUUUGAACCAUCAGCAAGUCCACAGUGGACAAAAAUCCUUCAAAUGUGAAGAAUGUGGGAAGGGAUUUUAUACAAAUUCACGACGAUCUUCCCAUCAGAGAUCCCACAAUGGAGAAAAGCCAUAUAACUGUGAGGAGUGUGGUAAGGACUAUAAAAGGAGGUUGGAUCUUGAGUUUCACCAGAGGGUCCACACGGGUGAGAGACCCUAUAAUUGUAAGGAAUGUGGCAAGAGCUUUGGCUGGGCCUCCUGUCUUUUGAAACAUCAGAGACUCCACAGUGGGGAAAAACCUUUCAAAUGUGAAGAGUGUGGAAAGAGAUUUACUCAGAGUUCACAACUUCAUUCCCAUCAGACAUGCCAUACUGGAGAAAAGCUAUACAAAUGUGAGCAGUGUGAGAAGGGGUACAACAGUAAAUUUAAUCUUGACAUGCACCAGAGGGUCCACGGGGGAGAGCGACCCUAUAAUUGUAAGGAAUGUGGAAAGAGCUUUGGCUGGGCUUCAUGUCUUUUGAAACAUCAGAGACUCCACAGUGGAGAAAAGCCAUUGAAAUCUGGAGUGUGGGAAGAGAUCUACUCAGAAUUCACAGCUUCAUUUACAUCAGUAAGUCUAUGUGGGAGAAAAGCCAUAUAAAUGUGAGAAGUGUGGGAAGGGCUUUGGCUGGGCCUCAACUCAUCUGACCCAUCAAUUCUCCACAGCAGAGAAAAACCAUUCAAAUAUGAGAACUGUGGGAAGAGCUUUGUACAUAGAUCAUAUCUUUUUUUUUUUUUUUUGAGACAGAGUCUCACUCUUUCACCCAGGCCUGACUGCAGUGGCGCUAUCUCAGCUCACUGCAAGCUCCGCCUCCCAGGUUCACGCCAUUCUCCUGCCUCAGCCUCCCGAGUAGCUGGGACUACAGGUGCCCGCCACCACACCCAGCUAAUUUUUUGUAUUUUUAGUAGAGACGGGGUUUCACCGUGUUAGCCAGGAUGGUCUCGAUCUCCUGACCUCGUGAUCCGCCCGCCUUGGCCUCCCAAAGUGCUGGGAUUACAGGCGUGAGCCACUGCGCCCGGCCAUAGAUCACAUCUUAAAGACCAAGAAAAGAGUCCACAGUGGAGAUAAUCCAUACAAAUGUGAGGAGCAUGGGAUGUACUACAACAGGCACUUGACUUGAUAUGCAUCAGAGGGUCCAUAUGGCAGAGAAACCGUGGAAGUUUGGGGAGAUUGCCAUGUGCUUCAGUUAUGCCUCAAAGUCUUCAACUUCAUUGGACUGUUCACUUUCAAGGGAAACCUUAGUAAGGUGAUAUCUGUGAUAGUCUUCUCAACUACAAGCUCAUCUGAGAGUUCACAAUGGGAGAAGCAUUAAAAAUUUGAUACAUGUGAUGGAGCUCCCAGGGGAGUGGCGACCACUGUCUCUAUGGUUCGGUUGACAAAGCUGUUCCAGCCUGCUGGCUUUGGAGAGUCUGGGCAAUCUGGGUGAGGAAGGGUCCUCCCCCACCGCAGCACACCUGCUGUACCAAAAGCAGUUGGACUGCUUCUGUAAGUAGGUCCCUGAUCCUGUUCCUCCUGACUCAGUGAGACCUCCCAACAGGAGUCUCUAGACACCUCCUACAGGAGUCUUCAGGCCAGAAACUGGUCAGUAUCCCCCUGGGACAGAGUUUCCAAAAGAAGGAGAAGGCUGCCAUCUUUGCUGUUUUGCAGCUUUCACUGGUGACACCUCCAGGUACGGGAAAAACGGAGGCAACUAGGGUCUCGAGCAGACCCCAGCAAACUGUGGCAGCCCUACAGUUGCUAACAGUCAGUGGCUUGACUGUUAAAAACAGGCAGAAAACAACAAGAACAUCAACAAAAAGACCCCACAAAAACCCCAUUCAAGGGUCAGCAACCUCAAGAUUGAAGGUAGGUAAGCCCACAGAUAUGAUAAAAAGUCAACACAAAAAAAUGCUGAAAACUCAAAAAGCCAGAGCGCCUCUUCUCCAAAUGACUACAGCACCUCUCUAGCAAGGGUACAGAACUGGGCUGAGGCUGAGAUGGCUGAACUGACAGAAGUAGGCCUCAGAAAGUGGGUAAUGAACUUUGCUGAGCUAAAGGAGCAUGGCAUAACCCAAUGCAAAGAAGCUAAGAAUCAUGAUAAAACAAUACAGGAGCUGAUGACCAGAAUAGCCAGUUUAGAGAGGAACAUAACUGACUUGAUGGAGCUGAAAAACACAACACAAGAACUUAACAAUGCAAUCACAAGUAUCAAUUGUAGAAUAGACCAAGAGGAGGAAAGAGACUCAGAGCUUGAAGACUAUCUUUCUGAAAUAAGACAGGCAGAGAAGAAUAGAGAAAGAAUGAAGAGUAAUGAACAAAACCUCUGAAAAAAAAUAUGGAGUUAUGUAAAAAGACUGAACCUAUGACUGAUUGCGGAACCUGAAACAGAUGGGGAGAAUGGAAACAAGUUGGAAACAUACUUUAGGAUGUUAUCCAGGAUAACUUUCCAAACCUAGCAUGACAGGCUAAUAUUCAAAUUCAGGAAAUGCAGAGAACCCCGGUAAGAUACUCCAUGAGAAGAUCAACCCCAAGACACAUAAUCAUCAGAUUCUCCAAGGUCAAAAUUAAAAAAUGUAAAGGGCAGUCAGAGAGAAUGAAAGGUCAGGUCCCCUACAAAGGGAAGCCCAUCAGACUAAUAGCAGACAUCUCAGUGGAAACCCUACAAGCCAGAAGAUAUUGGGGGUCAAUAUUCAGCAUUCUUAAAGAAUUCUUUGCCAGAAUUUAGUAUCUGGCCAAAGUAAGCUUUAUGUGCAAAGAAAUAAGAUCCUUUUCAGACAAGCAAAUGCUGAGAGAAUUCAUCACCACCAGGCCUUCCUUGCAAGAGUUCCUGAAGGAAGCACUAAAUAUGGAAAGAAAAAACCAUUACCAGCCACUACAAAAACACACUGAAGUACAUAGACCAAUGACACUAUAAAGCAACCACAUAAACAAGUCUGCAAAAUAACCAGCUAGCAUCAUGAUGGCAGGAUCAAAUUCACACAUAACAAUACUAAUAUCAAAUGUAAAUAGGCUAAAUGCCCCAAUUGAAAGACAGAGAAGUGCAAGCUGGAUAAAGAGCCAAGACCGAUUGAUACGCCGUGUUUAAGAGACCCAUCACACGUGCAAAGACACACAUAGGCUCAAAAUAAAGGGAUGGAGGAAAAUCUACCAAGAAAAUGGAAAUCAGAAAAAAGCAGGAGUCACAAUCCUAGUUUUUGACAAAACAGACUUUAAACCAACAAAGAUAAAAAAAAAAAAAAAGACAAAGCAAGGCAUUACAUAACAGCAAAGGGUUCAACAAGAAGAGCUAACUAUUCUAAACAUAUAUACGCACCCAAUAGCAGAGGACCCAGAUUCAUAAAGUAAGUUCUUAGAGACCUACAAAGAGACUUAGACUCCCACACAGUAAUAGUGGGAGACUUUAACACUCCAUUGACAAUAUUAGAUCAUUGAGAUAAAAAAUUAACAAAGAUGUUGAGGACCUUAACUCAGCUCUGGAUUAAGCAGACCUGAUAGAUAUCUGCAGAACUCUCCACUCCAAAACAACAGAAUAUACAUUUUUCUCAUCAUCACAUGGCUCUUAAAAAUUGAUCACAUAAUCGGAAGUAAACACUCCUCAGCAAAUGCAAAAGAACUGAAAUCAUAACAGUCUCUCAGACCAUAGCACAAUCAAAUUGAACUCAAGAUUAAGAAAUUCACCCAAAAAAUUAAAACAAAAAUGAAAUUAACUCAGAACCACACAACUAUGUGGAAAUUGAAUAACCUGCUUGUGAAUGACUCCUGGGUAAAUACUGAAAUUAAGGCAUAGAUCAAGAAAUUAUUUGAAACUAAUAAGAAUAAAGACACAAUGUACCAGAAUCUCUGGGAUGCAGCUAAAGAAGUGUUAAGACAGAAAUUAAUAGCACUAAAUGCCCACAUCAAAAAGCUAGAAAGAUCUCAAGUUAACAACAUCACAACUAAAAUAGAGAACCAAAAACAAACCCCAAAGCUAGCAGAAUACAGGAAAUAAGAUCAGAGCAGAACUCAAGGAGACAGAGACACAAAAAAUCUUUCAAAAAUUAACAAAUCCAGGAGCUGGUUUUUUGAAAAAAAUUAAUAGACUGCUAACUAGACUAAUAAAGAAGAAAAGAGAGAAGAAUCCAACACAAUCAGAAAUGAUAAAGGGGAUAUCACCACUGACCCCACAGAAAUACAAGCAACCAUCAGAGAAUAUUAUAAACACCUCUCUGCACAUAAACUAGAAAAUCUAGAAAAAGAGAAUAAAUUUCUGGAAACAUACACCCUCCUAAGGCUGAACCUGGAAGAAAUUGAAUCCUUGAAUAGACCAAUAACGACUUCUGAAAUUGAGGCAGUAAUAGUCUACCAAAAAAAAAAAAAAAAAGCCCAGGACCAGACAAAUUUACAGCUGAAUUCUACCAGAGGUACAAAAAAGAGCUGGUACCAUUUCUACUGAAACUAUUCCAAACAAUUGAAAAGAAGGGAUUCCUCCUUAACUCUUUUUAUGAGGCCAGCAUCAUCCUGAUACCAAAAUCUGGCAGAGAUAAAACGAAAAAAGAAAACUUCAGGCCAGUAUCCCUGAUGACUAUCAAUGCAAAAAUCCUCAACAAAAUACUGGCAAACUGAAUCCAGCAGCACAUCAAAAAGCUUAUCUACCACAAUCAAGUUGGCUUCAUCCCCAGGAUGCAACGUUGGUUCAACAUAUGCAAAUCAAUAAAUGUGAUCACAUAAUGAGAACCAAAGACAAAAAUCACAUGAUUCUCUCAAUAGAUGCAGAAAAGGCCUUUGAUAAAAUUCAACAUCCCUUCAUGCUAAAAGCUCUCUGUAAACUAGGUACUGAAGGAACAUACCUCAAAAUAAUAAGAGCCAUAGAUUUCAAACCCACAGCCAAUAUCAUACUGAGUGGGCAAAAGUUGUAAUCAUUCCCCUUGAAAACUGGCACAAGACAAGGACCAGCCCCCCGCCCUUUCCCCACUCCUGUUCAACACAGUAUUGGAAGUUCUGGCCAGUCAAGUCAGACAAGUGAAAGAAAUAAAGCAUAUUCAAAUAGAGAGGAAGUCACAGUAUCUUUGUUUGCAGAUGACAUGAUCCUAUAUCUAGAAAACCCCAUCAUCUCAGCCCAAAAGCUUUUUAAGCUGAUAAGCAACUUCAGCAAUGUCUCAGGAUACAAAAUCAAUGUGCAAAACCGCUAGCAUUCCUAUAAACCAACGACAGGCAAGCAGAGAGCCGAAUCAUGAAUGAACUCCCAUUCACAAUUGCUACAGAAAGAAUAAGUUAUCUAGGAAUACAGCUAACAAGGGAAGCGAAGGACCCCUUCAAGGAGAACUACAAACCACUGCUCAAAGAAAUCAGAGAGGACACAAAUGGAAAAACAUUUCAUGCUCAUGGAUAGGAAGAAUCAAUAUUGUGAAAUGGCCAUACUGCCCAAAGUAAUUUAUAGAUUCAAUGCUAUUCCCAUUAAACUACCGUUGACAUUCUUCACAGAAUUAGAAAAAAAAACCUAUUUUAAAAUUCAUUUGGAACCAAAGAAUAGCCCAAAUAGCCAAGACAAUUCUAAGCAAAAAAGAACAAAGCUGGAGGCAUUAUGCAACCCAACUUCAAACUAUACUCCAAGGCUACAGUAACGAAAACAGCAUAGUACUGGAACAAAAACAGACACAUAGACAAAUGGAACAGAAUAGAGAACUCAGAAAUAAGACCACACACCUACAACCAUCUGAUAUUCAACAAACCUGACAAAAACAAGCAGUGGGGAAAUGAUUCCCUAUAUAAUAAACGGUGCUGGGAGAACUGGCUAGCCAUGCACAGAAAAUUGAAACUGGACCCCUUCCUUACAAACAUUAUACAAAAAUUAAGAUGGAUUAAAAACUUAUGAAACCCAAAACUAUAAAAACCCCAGAAGAAAAUCUAGGUGAUACCAUCCAGGACAUAGGGACAGGCAAAGAUUUCACGAUGAAAACACCAAAAGCAAUUGCAACAAAAGCAAAAUUUGACAAAUGGGAUCUAAUUAAACUAAAGAGCUUCUGCACACCAAAAGAAACUAUUAUCAGGGUGAACAGACAACCUACAGAAUGGGAGAAAAUCUUUGCAAUCUGUCCAUCUGACAAAGGUCUAAUAUCCAGAGCCUACAAGGAACUUAAACAAAUUUACGAGAAAAAAAACCAUUAAAAAGUGGGCAAAAGACAUCAACAGGCACUUCUCAAAAGAAGACGUACAUGCAGCUGACAAACAUGAAAAAAAAGCUCAACAUCACUAUCAUUAGAUAAAUGCAAAUCAAAACCACAAUGAGAUACUGUCUCACAUCAGUCACAAUGGCAAUUAUAAAAAAGUAAAAAAGAAGCCAUUUGCAGCAGCUCAAAGUGCUGUAAUCCCAAACCUUUGGGAGGCUGAGGUGGGUGGAUCACUUGAGGUCAGGAGUUGGAGACCAGCCCGGCCAACAUGGCGAAACGAACCCCUGUCUCUACUAAAAAUACAAAAAAUUAGCUGGAUGUGGUGGUGCAUGCCUAUAAUCCCCAGCUACUUGGGAGGCUGAGGCAUGAGAAUUGGUUGAACCGGAGGCAGAGGUUGCAGUGAGUCAAGGUCAUGCCACUGCACUUCAGCCUGGGCAACAGUGAAACUGUGUCUCAAAAAAAAAAAAAGUCAAAAAGCAACAGUUGUUGGUGAAGUUGGGGAGAAAAAGGAAUGCUUUUACAUUGUUAGUGGGAGUAUAAAUUAGUUGAACCAUUGUGGAAGACAGUGUGGCAAUUCCUCAAAGAUUUAGAGGCAGAAAUACCAUUUCACCUAGCAAUCCCAUUACUGUAAUAUAUACCCCCAAAUUAUAAAUCAUUCUAUUAGAAAGAUACAUGCACUUGUAUGCUCACUGCAGCACUAUUCAAAAUAACAAAGACAUGGACUCAGCCCAAAUGCCCAUCAAUGAUAGACUGGAUAAAGAAAAUGUCAUACAUAUAGACCAUGGAAUACUAUGCAAACAUAAAAAGAAAUUAGAUCAUCCAGGACAUGGAUGGAGCUAGAAGCCGUUAUCCUCAGCAAACUAACACAGGAACAGAAAACCAAACACUGCAUGUUCUCACUUAUAAGUGGGAGCUGAAUGAUGAGAACAUAUGGACACAUGGUGGGAAACAACACACACUGGGGCCUCUUGGAGGGGUGGAGGGAGGGAGAGCAUCAGGCAGAAUAGCUAAUGGAUGCUGUGCUUAAUACCUAGGUGAUAGAUUGAUCUGUGCAGCAAACCACCAUGGCUCACAUUUACCUAUGUAACAAACCUGCACAUCCUGCACAUGUACCCCUGAACUUAAAAUAAAAGUUGAAGAAAAAACUAAAUCAUAGUAUUAAAAAGGAGAAAUCUUGCAAGAAAUAAUUUAUGGAAACAUGAGUUGAAAUGCAGGGUACACUCAGCACUGCAAUGUAGACCUUUAUUUUGAUUAUUAUCUUAUUCCACUUGGCUCCUGGCUUCUCCUCAUCCUCUGUUCUCAAGUCGGAUUCUUAUUAUUUGGGACUCUGUCUAGUGUUCCCUUGAUUGUAUAUAGUAUAAAUUUAACAAUCAUUUGUCACUUUUCUCACAAUAUGAGGUGAAAAGAUUUUGUAAUAACAGACCACUGCAUAUUGUACAAUUAAGUUUUUUCAACAAUUUUAAGGCAGGAUUCACAGUAAACACUUUUUUCUUUUAAAAAAUUAUUUUUAAGGAAUAGAGACAGUCUCACCAUGUUGCUUGGCUGGCCUUGAACUUCUAGGCUCAGGCAAUCCUCCUACCUCAGCCUCCCAAAGUGCUUGAAUUAUAGGCAUGAGCCACCACACCCAGCCCACAGUAACAUUUCUAAUGUGGCAGAUGUAGUUACAUUGACAAAAAUUUUUCUGGUAAAGGCCAGGUGUGGUGGCUCACUCCUGUAAUCCCAGCACUUUGGGAGGCUGAGGCAGGUGGAUCACUUGAGGCCAUGGGUUCGAGAUCAGCCUGGUCAACAUGGCAAAACCCCGUCUCUACUAAAAAUACAAAAAUUAGCUGGUGUGGUGGUGUGUGCCUGUAAUCCCAGCUACCUGAGAGGCUGAGGCAUGAGAAUCGCUUGAGCCUGGGAGGCGGAGGUUGCAGUGAGCUGAGAUUGUGCCACUGUACUCCAGCCUGGGCAACAGAGCGAGACUUCAUCUAAAAAAAAAUUCCUAAUAAGUUUUGAAUUGAUCAUGAUUUGUGAUUCUGCGUUUCUGUGCAGGCUUUAAUAUGAUUGCCUUCUAAUUGCUGUAGUUAUUUCUUUUAUCAGACUUCUCAGGUAGAAGCUUUGCCAAAUUUGAAGGAAAAUUUUUGGCAACCUCAGUAUUUCUUCCCAUCUCUAUGAACUACCAAGAACAUUUGUUGGAGUUUGGUGAUUUCAUCAUACAUAUUCAUUAUUGGAGCAAGAGUAACCUUUACAUACUCUUCUUUAUUGUUGGCCAUAAGAAUACGUUUUUUGGAAAGUGGUAUAUGGCAGUAUGUAUAAGGUACAACUGUUCAACCUGGAAAUCAUAGGAUAGAAAAUUACAACAUUAAAACUCUGAAAAUUAGUAGAUUACAUGGAUGAUGUCACUUAAUUUUAAAAUGGAAAGAACAAGUGUUCAACCACAGGAAUUUGUAUGAAGUGCAUUUAUUAAUAUAAAAACACAAAGCCAGUAAAAUGAUGACAUAGAUGUACAAUAAAAAGAGAAGAGCAUAAUGUAUGCCUUAGGGAAAUCCUAUUGUAGCCUUCAUAACAAACUAAGUGUCUUUGUGUUUCUGGGUUUGUUUAUUUGGUUAUUUUUAGUGUGUAUGUACAUCAUUUGUGGAUGAAUAUUCUGACAUUUUCCCUGGCAAUGAGUAUUUGCUGGAAUUUUUCAUUUUAUAAUUUUAUGCAUUUUAAAUUUCUCAUUGAACACCAAUUUUACCAAAGCAGUUAUGUGAUGAAAAAUUUGAAAAAUUAUUAAUAUUAAUCACUUACCUAUAAGGACUCUGAAUAAGAUUGCUCUACAUUGUCAUAUGACAGUUCAAAAUUAAGGAAUAGGGAUGUGGAAGUCAUAUUUCAAAAUAAAAAAAUGUAUCUGGUCACCUGGAUAUACAGAUUGAUGAGUGUGGUCAACUGCCUUCAUAACUAAUGUGUGUGAUUCUGCUUUAGGCAUAAGUCAGGAAGCAAGCAAAUCCUAGUGACAGAAAUAAUGUGGGUAUAUAUAGUUGUGGAGGUUAAAAAAACAGAUUCUUUGAAGAACAAAUGCGCAUGAUCAGGGAACUUAACAUGACAGCAGCAGUCUCUUAGUGUGUGGAACCAGCUCGGACAAAGAGCUGAUUUGGGUGCUAAUUCAUAGUUAUACACCAUGGUGUAACUUAACUGUAUUAGGUUAAAAGGCAUUCUUCAAAGUGUCUAGUUGAGAUAGUAAGCUUUUCAUAAUUAAUUUUCUAAAUAAUGUAUUUUCAUGAUGCUAUAUUCAUGCUGUGCCAGUUUGGAUAGUAGAUUGGAGGUCCCUAAGACCACCUCUGGGUUCUGUGAUUUACUAAAAUAACUGAGACUAUAGUUGUACUUAUAACAAUAUUACAGUGACAAGAUACAAAACAGAAUCUGUAAAGGGAAAUGGCUCAUGGGCAGUUGUCUAGAGGAAACCAGAAGCAAGCUUACCAGAGUCCUCUCUGCAUGGUGUUACAUAAGACUCAACUCCUCUAGCAUUGAAUUGUGAUACUACUUGUGAAAUGUCUACAAUGGAAGCUCAUUAGCAACCAGCAGCACAGGUUCUUAUUGAGAUUGAUUAUGUAGGUAUGUGUCUAGUACAUAUCAAGAUUCCCAACUCUAAGAAGAAGAGCAAGUGUUCCAAAUAAGCUGCAUUGUAGAGUUUAGGCGCAGUGACCACUCCUACCCAUUAUGGAAAGGUGGUAACUCUCUCAAACCCCAUGUUCCUUGACUCCAGCCAAAGGCCAGUGUUGCAAACAGCUCUUUUUAAAGUUAGCAGUCUGACUUAUGCCUGCUAUGUUAACUUUUUGUGCAUGUGGUAUCAGAAAAGUAGGGCCUGCAGUCUUGUGGGGUUUUCUUAAACUAUCACCAGAUAAUAGUUCAUCUCUAAGAUAAUUAUUUGUAAAAGAAAAUUCAUCAGAUUACAUUUUUAAAUAUUUUUAUAAUAAAAAAUACCAUAGGUAGGCCUUCCAUCUACCCUCGUGUGUGUCUGGGUCCUCAAAUUGGUCACAGGAUGAUAUUAACAGCUGAUUUGUUUUUAUUGUUCAUAUUUAUGUCUCACAGACUGCAUGAGUAUUUGACUCCCAAUAAAACUGAAUAUUGAAUACCUAGCUUCAUAUGUAGUACCUGAGCUUUUGUGUGGCCAGUAUUUCUUGCCACUUCUCACGAUGGACUGGGUCUCUUUUAUGUAUAUGACCCUGGCAAGUUCACUAUGUUAACUUUGAAAUUGGGUACAUUAUUAUAAUUGGGAAUUAUUGCAGAGUCUCAAUCUCUGUGUUUGAAAAAUGAGGGAAGCUUCCCAAGUUAUUAUUCUCUGACCAUAUCAGUAGGAUAUCCAUUUAAAUGUUUGAGCUAAAUGCCACAACAUUUGUGUGUGUGUGUUUUUUUUUUUUUUUUUUUUUUUUGAUACACUAUGACAAUAACUUCCUGGAUAGAUUUGUUGUUGUUUUUAAUUUUUAUAGUAAAAAUACACUCAUUUUACUUGCAAGAAUAAUGUCUAGACAUUGGAAACAAUUACUUUGGUACAGAAAAGUCUAAAAAAGAAAGUGGAAGAUAGGAAGUAUGAAUAUUUUGGUAAGGAUGGUUCAGCAUAUCUAUGCAUAUAGGUAACAAUUGUAUAGAAUUUUACAAAACUAGGAACACACUAAGCAUACUUGCUCCUAACAGGAUUGUCCUAAUAUGACACUAAUGUUAAAGGCUGUAUAAAUAAGUUGACCUCCAACCUCAUUUCUAAUGCCUGCUGUAUCCUGGUGUACUGAAUAUUAAUUUUUCCUUAAACAGUUUUCUGAUGAUGAGGAUCUGUGUGGUAUCAAUUUUAAUUACAACAUGCCUAGACUACAGUCCCUAGUUAUUUAAUCAAACAGUAAUACAUAUAUAUAUAUAUAUAUAUAUGGAAGGCAUUUUGUAGAUAUUUAGCCCAUAAUCAGUUGGCUUUGAGUAGGGAUAUUAUGUGAGAUAAUGUCAGUGGGCCUGAUGAAUCACUUGAAAUUAUUUAAAAGUAGAGCUGAAGCUUCUUUGAAAAAAGAAAUUGCACCUUUUAGUAGCAUCUUCCUCUCGUGGGUUAGUGUUCCAUCUGAGCCAUCCUGGGGUAUAGCCAUAUGUUUUUUGCAGUUGCUUAGCCAGUCCCACAGUGGCAUAAGAAAGUUCCUUGCAAUAAAUCAUUUGUAUAUGUCAUAUUGAUUUUGUUACUCCGUUUCAACGCUGACCAAAAGAUAUUUUGUUCCAGAAGUGGUUCUAGAGGAAGAGAAUCUUAAGAAUGAGUUUUCUAAAUCAAUUCUGUGUUUUCUCAAAUUGGAUUUCUCAUCUUUUUUAGUUUAAAGGCACUAUUGACUUUAUUUCCAGUGGAAAAUAGGGCAUUGGUUGUUAAAGCCACGACAUGGUGAUAAAUAUAUGCCAAAUAUAUUGGAUAAUCCCAAGCAUAUACCUAUAGAAGGCAUGAUUCUAGAUGACCAUGAAUUUGUUAGUUUCGGACAUAAUAGUCAAACGAAGGACUAUAGUGGUAUUUACUAGUUGCUCUGAUUUGUGCUUCAGAAAGUGGGAAAGAAAAAGAUGAGGACAAGGCAUCAAAUUCCAGCUCAAUCAGAAUAACCUGAAAGCGUCAGUCAUUAUGCAUGGCUUCUUAACCUUGUGUUGUUGAUCUUGGCAUUCAUAGUAAAUAACUUGACAGGAAAUCUAUUACACUGUUACUUUAUUUGUAUAGGCAGGAGGAUUCUCUUGCAAGUAAACAGAAAUCCAACUGGAAUUACCUAACAGAAUCACAUCUCCCAAAUCAAUUCUAAGACAAGUCCAGUUUACAAAUCCACAAUUGCUUCAAUAAACGGGAGGUCAGUUCUGUAUUAGGAUGGACGCUGGUACGUUGCAGAGUGCUUCACAAGGCCCUACAGCCAUUAACCCGUGUGACUAUGUACUCAAAAGGAGAAAUAUUCAAACAUCUUGGCAACGACUAACUCCUAUUAUCAAAUGGCACGUUUAUAUUUUGAUGAUUGGGCCUGGUGAGAAGGAAGCAGGAAGGAAUCUAGGCAUAUUUGUAAGAUACAUACAUACCAGAGGGAAGAAAUAAAUCUUAUAAUAAUUCAUGGGCCUUUCACCUUGGUGAAAUUUCCACAAGUUCACUGAUGUAGGCCUAUUGAGCUAUCCCUUCUGGGUGUAGGGCAAGUAGAAUAUAGCCCUUCCUACGAUCAAAAAAUAGCGUCACAACGCCUAGUGGACCACUGGGGCUAUUGUAUGCUACUUAUUCCUCAUUGAGGCGUGCUACUUUGCCUAUUUUGUGUGACCUGAAAACAUUUUGACUCAUCCAAGAUAAGUCUGUGCAAUGUGUCCCAGCUGCUAUGUAAGUUUCUCUGCCAUCAGGACCCUAUGACCCAGAAAAGCCAAAAGUGAUUAAAAUGUUAAUGAAAGAUAGUGAUGGUUGAGCCUUUGGCUGGCCCUAGUUAGUAAAUCAGCACUUUACAAGGCUGAGGUGGGAGAAUCGCUUGAGCCCAGGACUUCAAGACAAGCCUUGGCAACAUAGCAAGACCUUGUUCUAAAAAAAAAAAUUGAGGCGAACAGACCAAAAACUCAACAUAAAAAUGGGUAAUAGAUUUGAACAAUUUACAAAAAGAAAAAUAAUAUUGACACAGGAAAUAUGCAAAAAUGUUCUAUGUUAUUUAAAAAACAAGAAAUAUAAAUUAAAACUAAAUUUAAAUACACUUCUUACCAUUUGAUUGGCAAAACUUUAAAAAUGUUGUAAUAACACAUUUUGUUAGCUAGUUUCAAGGCAAGAGUAUAUUUAUACAUUACUUCUGCAAAUGGAAAUGGUACCAAAAAAUUAAGGCAACUUGACAAUAUGCAACAAAAUUUCUAUUAAUAUCUUCACUUUUCAAUCCUGCUUUCUGGGAUGUACUCUUCUGAUGUAUCUUCAACAGGGAUAAUAUACAAAUGUACAAGUGUAUUUAUAACAGCAUCAUUUGUAAUAAUAAAAUAUUGGAAGUCACUGAAAUGUCCAUAAAUUGCAGCACUGUUAUAUAAACCACUCAAUGGAAUUUAUGCAGUUUUAAAAAUAAAUUACUCCAUAUGACAUGA